UGCACCAAGAAGGCUUGGGGAAGUCUUGUAACGUUAAGAACAUUAAGGGGCCUGGGGAUGUGGCUCAGUAGGGUGUGGACGUUGAAAGUCUAUUUUGAUUGAAUAAUCGUGAGAGUUAACAGAAGAUCAGUGUUAUUCCUUCCCCUGAUGAUUGUGACUCACUUAAUUCCAAGAUGCAACUUUAAAAAUGACUGAAAGCCAGUCUGAGUAGCAGCACUCUGAUGAGCCAAAGGAAUGAGAAUCACAAGCCAGCAGGAGAAGCAAGCUCUUAAUAUCCUGGAGCCAGGCAGGAAAGUUGGAGUCAUGAGCCUUGAACUCCUGGUGGGAUCUUCGCUACAGCCCUAGGGUCGGUAUGUUGCAGGCUGUCUUUACACAUCCCUGGAGUGAAUGAUCCAAAAGAAGGAAACACUGUACCCGGAAGGACGAAGAAUUUGCAGGGGGCAGCUGAGGACAGUCUGAGACCUCUUGUGUUGGGUGAAGAGGGCUAACUCUUCUGGCUUAAAGACGGUGCAACAGAGACAGCUACUAAGUGACAAAUCUCAGAGCUCCUUUCUACACUACUCCCUGUCUGGAAAAGCCACCAGCUGGUCGUUCUACAUAACCACACCUAGUGAUGUGAUCCUUGGUAGUCUCUCACCUGGAUUGAGUUUCCAAAACAAAC